AAUUUUUAUGGUUUGAAUAAUUUAUUAGAAGUUUAUUUUACAUAUAAAUUUUAGUAUUUAUUUAAAUAUUUAAAUAAUAUUUAUUUUUAUUUAGUAGUAAUUAAUAUUAAAAAUUUAAGAAAUUAAGAUUUAGUAAUAUAGUAAUUAAUAACGAAUUUUGUGCCAGCAGUUGCGGUUAUACAAAAAUUAAUAUAAAUUUUAUUAGUAAUUAAUUAAUAUAAAAUAAAAUAAUUUAUAAAUUAAAAUUUAAAUUAUUAGGUGAAAUUUUAAUUUAAUAAAAUUUAUUUUUAUUUUAUGAUUUAAUAAAUUUUAUUUAUAAAUUAGGAUUAGAUACCCUAUUAUUAAAAAUUUAAAUUAAAAAUACUAAAAUAUUAAAUAAUAAUUUAUUGAAACUUAAAUGAUUUGGCGGUAUUUUAGUUCAUUUAGAGGAAUCUGUUUAAUAAUUGAUAAUCCACGAAUAAAUUUACUUAAUUUUUAAUUUUGUAUAUCGUUGUUAAAAAAAUAUUUUUUAAUAAUAGUAAUAUUUAAAAAUUUUAAAAAUAAAUUAAAUCAGAUCAAGAUACAGAUUAUAAUUAAGAAUAUAAUGGAUUACAAUAAAUAUAUUUAAGUGAAUAUUAAUUUUUAAUAAUUAAUUGAAAUUGGAUUUAAAUGUAAUUUUUAUUUAGUUUAAUAAAAUGAUUUUUAAUUAAGAUAUGUACAUAUUGCCCGUCGCUUUCAAAAAUAAAUUGGAAUAAGUCGUAACAAAGUAGAGGUACUGGAAAGUGUUUCUAGAAAGAUUA
rnacentral:ncRNA from 1 species